rnacentral:rRNA from 1 species
UACAGAGGGUGCAAGCGUUGUUCGGAAUUAUUGGGCGUAAAGGGCGCGUAGGCGGUGCUGUAAGUCUGUAGUGAAAUCUCUGGGCUCAACUCAGAGUCUGCUAUAGAAACUGCAGUGCUAGAGUGUGGGAGAGGUGAGUGGAAUUCCCGGUGUAGCGGUGAAAUGCGCAGAUAUCAGGAGGAACACCGGCGGUGUAGACGGCUCUCUGGACCGUAACUGACGCUGAGACACGAAAGCGUGGGUAGCAAACAGG